rnacentral:rRNA from 1 species
ACGAACGCUGGCGGCGUGCCUAAUACAUGCAAGUCGAACGAAGCUUUCUUUCACCGAAUGCUUGCAUUCACCGAAAGAAGCUUAGUGGCGAACGGGUGAGUAACACGUAGGCAACCUGCCCAAAAGAGGGGGAUAACACUUGGAAACAGGUGCUAAUACCGCAUAACCAUGAACACCGCAUGAUGUUCAUGUAAAAGACGGCUUUUGCUGUCACUUUUGGAUGGGCCUGCGGCGUAUUAACUUGUUGGUGGGGUAACGGCCUACCAAGGUGAUGAUACGUAGCCGAACUGAGAGGUUGAUCGGCCACAUUGGGACUGAGACACGGCCCAAACUCCUACGGGAGGCAGCAGUAGGGAAUCUUCCACAAUGGACGAAAGUCUGAUGGAGCAACGCCGCGUGAAUGAAGAAGGCCUUCGGGUCGUAAAAUUCUGUUGUCAGAGAAGAACGUGCGUGAGAGUAACUGUUCACGUAUUGACGGUAUCUGACCAGAAAGCCACGGCUAACUACGUGCCAGCAGCCGCGGUAAUACGUAGGUGGCGAGCGUUGUCCGGAUUUAUUGGGCGUAAAGGGAACGCAGGCGGUCUUUUAAGUCUGAUGUGAAAGCCUUCGGCUUAACCGAAGUAGUGCAUUGGAAACUGGAAGACUUGAGUGCAGGAGAGGAGAGUGGAACCCCAUGUGUAGCGGUGAAAUGCGUAGAUAUAUGGAAGAACACCAGUGGCGAAAGCGGCUCUCUGGUCUGUAACUGACGCUGAGGUUCGAAAGCGUGGGUAGCAAACAGGAUUAGAUACCCUGGUAGUCCACGCCGUAAACGAUGAGUGCUAAGUGUUGGAGGGUUUCCGCCCUUCAGUGCUGCAGCUAACGCAUUAAGCACUCCGCCUGGGGAGUACGGUCGCAAGACUGAAACUCAAAGGAAUUGACGGGGGCCCGCACAAGCGGUGGAGCAUGUGGUUUAAUUCGAAGCAACGCGAAGAACCUUACCAGGUCUUGACAUCUUCUGACAAUUCCAGAGAUGGAACGUUCCCUUCGGGGACAGAAUGACAGGUGGUGCAUGGUUGUCGUCAGCUCGUGUCGUGAGAUGUUGGGUUAAGUCCCGCAACGAGCGCAACCCUUAUUGUCAGUUGCCAUCAUUAAGUUGGGCACUCUGGCGAGACUGCCGGUGACAAACCGGAGGAAGGUGGGGAUGACGUCAAAUCAUCAUGCCCCUUAUGACCUGGGCUACACACGUGCUACAAUGGACGGUACAACGAGUCGCUAACUCGCGAGGGCAAGCUAAUCUCUUAAAGCCGUUCUCAGUUCGGAUUGCAGGCUGCAACUCGCCUGCAUGAAGUCGGAAUCGCUAGUAAUCGCGAAUCAGCAUGUCGCGGUGAAUACGUUCCCGGGCCUUGUACACACCGCCCGUCACACCAUGAGAGUUUGUAACACCCAAAGUCGGUGGGGUAACCUUUUGGAGCCAGCCGCCUAAGGUGGGACAGAUGAUUGGGGUG